CUAUUCUUAGUAUCCCACUGUUUCAUUACUGAUAUAAAUUUGUUAACAUCCUAUUAUAUUAAAAUUUGUGAAAUAGGUCUCUCUCUCUCUCUCUCUCUCUCUCUCUCUCUCUCUCUCUCUCUCUCAAAUCAGAUGAAUUGUUAUCCAAUAACAGUGAAUUGAAUGAAUGACAGCGUUCUGGAGUAGAAUUUCCCAAGCGUUCAUUAGGCGCCAUCCCUAUUUUUACACCCCCUGCUUCACAUCAGACCAUGGGUUGUCCUCAACCUGGAUAUGGAAUGCCUAGCAAUGCUUCAAGAAGGCUUGAUGAAACUAUGGCUACAGAAAUUGAGAGUUUGAGCUUGUCAAGCAUGGAGGCUAUGCAGAAUGUUCUGGAACUCCUAAGUGACAUGCUACAGGCAGUAAAUCCUGGUGAU